CUACGGGUUGCAGCAGUGGGGAAUAUUGCACAAUGGGGGAAACCCUGAUGCAGCAACGCCGCGUGAAGGAAGAAGGCUCUUGGGUUGUAAACUUCUUUGAAUGGGGACGAAACAAAUGACGGUACCCAUAAAACAAGCCACGGCUAACUACGUGCCAGCAGCCGCGGUAAUUCGUAGGUGGCAAGCGUUAUCCGGAAUUACUGGGUGUAAAGGGCGUGUAGGCGGGAGAGCAAGUCAGAUGUGAAAUGCCAAGGCUUAACCAUGGAACUGCAUCUGAAACUGUUUUUCUUGAGUACUGGAGAGGAAAGUGGAAUUCCUAGUGUAGCGGUGAAAUGCGUAGAGAUUAGGAGGAACACCAGUGGCGAAGGCGGCUUUCUGGACAGUAACUGACGCUGAGGCGCGAAAGCGUGGGGAGCAAACAGGAUUAGAUACUCCCGUAGUC
rnacentral:rRNA from 1 species